rnacentral:rRNA from 1 species
UACGUAGGGACCAAGCGUUGUCCGGAAUCAUUGGGCGUAAAGAGCGUGUAGGCGGCUUGUUAAGUCUUGCGUGAAAUCUCGGGGCUCAACCCCGAGCGGUCGUGAGAAACUGGCAGGCUAGAGUGCGGGAGAGGAGAGUGGAAUUCCUGGUGUAGCGGUGAAAUGCGCAGAUAUCAGGAAGAACACCCGUGGCGAAGGCGGCUCUCUGGAACGCAACUGACGCUGAGACGCGAAAGCAUGGGGAGCAAACAGG